GUUCCUGUGGGAGGAGUGUUUCUUUGUAUCUGCUCAGACAGAGUAAGACUUGGGUAAUUUCACAGAUGUUUCACUGAAACUCUCCUGUCAUGAAGCCUCUCCUCUUGUCUCAUGCUGUGAGGUGUCAUGAAUGGGUGAAUCUCAUGAAAACAUGUCCAAGUCAAAUUUGUCCUCCAAAUCUUGUUUCCCCAUCUGGUUCUGCUCAUUUUGCCUCACUCCAGCAAUCAGCCAUCCUAUAGAUGGACAUAAUCGAGUCAGUUUCCCUACGCUCUCAAAAUACUUAAAUAUAUCUCUAUAUAUGCAUGUUUUGCAAUAAACUUAAAAUAUAUUGUUAUUAUAUACAGGGGUGUAGCACAGAAUCUUGGGCCCUAUGCAAAGACAGUGUGUGGGGGCCCCUUUCCAUCAUCUAUUUAUCAUCUUUUUUAAAUAAUAAUUUAGAAAAGUACACAUUUCACUCACUGAUACAUUUCACUCACUCACUGGCAAAUCACUGAUGUAAAAUUAAAUCUGACAGUAUUAAAAAGACAGAUGUCAUGUAUAGUAUAAAAAUGUUAAUGCAGAAUAAUUUUUGUGUAUGAAUUGUGCUUUACUUAAUACUACUUUAUACUAUUAAUAGACCACCUCAGGUAUCCCUGUAUGAAUUAUGUUUUCUUAAGAGACAUUGUGCUUUGUAGUCGAGAACAUUAUUUCAAACAAUAAAACAAGUGUAAUAAAAUAAUAAAAAAUAUAAUAAUAUAAUUGUAAGCACCACUUUGCCUUUUUUUUUAAAAGCAUGUCUGGCUAAAUCAAAAUAAAUAAAAUAAAUUAAAAAAAAAUUUAAUAAUCAAAACUCAAAAAGGCUGAAAAAACUUUUAACAGGUAAGAAUUUUUCAGAUCAAUUUUUAUCUUACAUGGAUCUCACAAGGAUGUAUAAUACAUGUUUGACUCACACAGUCUUAGGGUACUAAUGCUGACAAGGUGGUGGUGGUCAAUGGUCAUCAUUGCACUAAUGCCCACUGGCGGGUCUUCUUCUUGGCAAAAUCACUGAUGAGAUCUUUAAAAUCCAAUUUCUUGGCUAACUGACUCUGAAUGGACAGAAGUGCAAGGCUGUUCAGUCUCUUUUUUUUUUACUAGUUUUAACUUGCUGAAAGCCUGCUCACCUCCAGCAACAGACACAGGCAGUGUGCACAACAUCCUCAAUGCAAUACAGACCUCUCCAAAAAUGCUCUGUAACUGCAUCUUAUAGAUGGCAUUAAGGAGCUCAAGAGGAGACAGGUUGUUUGAAAAUGUUGCACUGUAUAUAGAGUUUAGAUGCAGUAUUUUGUUUUCCAACUCACCAGUGAGGUCUUUAUUGUACUUUGCUGUGAGUUCUCUGCAUUUUAUCUUCAUUUGGUCUUCUGUCAUAUCUAUACACCUCCACUGCCUGUGCUACCAGAGAGGCCUCAUUGAGCAAGGAGUCCCAUUCACUGCGCAAAACCUGCAUCUCUUCUUGUAAUGCUUUGAUGUUAUUUAUUUCAGUGUCAAGUGAAAUAUGCCCUCUCUGAAGAAUCACAUUUCUGUUCUCAAUGCACUGUAGCACUUUCCUCCAUACAGUCAGAAGAACAAUUGCAUCAAAUGUUUUGAAAUAUUUAAUCAGACCAAGUGCCUCUGACCUGGCUUCAUUUGUUAUAUUGCAUGACAUAUGUGAUAUGGAUUCUAGAGGCUCAAUGAUCAUAGGUAAGUGAGUCGCAACAACACGUACAGCAGCUAUGCGGGCACUCCAGCAAGUAUCAGACAGGCGAUGAAGAGAGAAUCCUGUUUUUUCUUUCAGGAUGGCCCAUCACUCUGGACUAGCGCUAAAUAGAUUGAAGAGCCUGUUGACUGAGCCGAAAAAUGUAGAGACCUCAGUACAGGAGGCAGCUGCAUGUACACCAACCAGGUUGAGUGUAUGGGAUGCACAGGGGGAAUAUGUAGCUAGUAGAUUAGCUUUUAAAAUUUCAGCUUGUACUCCCUUCACUUUUCCCGACAUAUUGGCCCCAUUAUCAUAUCCUUGUUCUCUACAAUCCUUCAGCGGUAUACCAUUUUCUUCCAGUACUGCCUCAAUCAUUUCGGAAAUUUCCCUGCCUGUUUUCCUGUAAAAAUCUUUGAACUGAAUAAAUCUCCAUUAUUUCCCAGUUGCUGCUCUCUUUAUCUUGAUAAGCAUACCUAACCAAAAGCACGUUUUGCUCUGUAUGAGAUAUGGCUGGUGUUCAGUCACAUAUUACAGAAUAAUGUAUUGCAUCCUCUCUUUCAGCCAGGAUAGUGUUUUUCACUCUUCUGCUACACAAGUCAAUGAACUCGUUUUGCAUCUCAGGACUUAGAUAAUGAGUUACCCGUGAACCUGUCUUCUUUUGCCUUACUCUCGGUAAGUGCUCAUUUAAAAAGGGGUCAGAGUUCCCAGGAAAUUUCCAUUAAGAACAUCAUCCAAAUUUGUGGUUUUGCCUCUGAAAGCCAGAUUUCUUGAAGCCAAAUGAAGUGUAACAUCCAAAAGCCUCUGUAAAAUCAAUUUAUUCCUCUCUAUCUCUGUUAGAAAUUGAACCUGCAGGUGACUAUCCACUCCUUUGGCUCCUAAUAAGGAGUUCUGCAGACUCUUCCAUUCUAUGUAGCACUGCUUAUGUGGCUUGUGUGUCUAAUUUUUUGGAAAUUUGCCAUACAUUCUUUUUACGUUUGCCAAUUUGAGUCCAUGCUUGCUGUUCAGAGCACUUGAGGAUGGUUGUUUUUGCUCAUGUGAAAAAAGAAGACUUGGAAUGCAGUACAAAGAUGCCUCACUUUUACUGUAAAUUAGCCAGUCCCUUUUUAUUUUUUCACGGCCAUUGGGUGCUUUAGCAUAUUGUAGAUAAUUUAGAAAUGGUUUGCCCGUCUUAUGUUUUGGAGCAAAUUUGGUCAAAUCAGCUUCUUCAGGAUUUGUGUUUGCUAGUUUGAAAAUUAUAGAAUUCCGUUGCUGAUUGGUCAUCCGCUGUGAGUGGCCAUAAUGCUGGAUCAUCAGUUACAUACUCAGCACUAACAUCACUUUUUCCUUCCUCUACCACUGUCCUCAUACUGUCUGCCUCACUGCCCUCUGAGGAAUCAUUUUUUGUAGUGUCUACACCUUCGUCACAGGUCCUACUACUUCUAUCUCCUGCAUCGGCUACCUCUUCUUCCUCUGGAUUAGGUACCUCUACAAGCACGAUAAACACAGGAUUGAUAUUACCCUGAGCCACAAAUGACAUUGUAUGCAACACUACCAUCAGUUUAAUGUACAUAGUACUAACUAGUGUAAGUGGUAGUGGUAACGGCACUAGUGCUAUUACUUUAGUCUUUAUGAUUGUAACUGAGAUUAUUAUUGGUUACAUGUAAAUGAUCCUGAGAAAGCAUGCUUGCUGUCUACUUUGCAUUUAUAAAGAUGGCUUAUUCAUAUUUUUCCAAACCAAGCCAAAUGUCUUUUUUUGUUAACAAGUCUGUUGGAUGCAUAAAUAAUUUAAAGAUGCAUACUGUACACUGAUCCUACCUUCACUCACUUCCUCAGGCUCAGCAACGUUAAUAGGAGCAGCUGCUAUAGGAACUUGUGAUGGACCUGCUGCUACACUCUCUGCAACAGAGGGUUUAAAGGAUUAAUAUGGAGUUGGCCCACCCUUUGCAGCUGUAACAGCUUCAACUCUUCUGGGAAGGCUUUCCACAAGGUUUAGGAGGAAUUUUUGACCAUUCUUCUAGAAGCGCAUUUAUGAGGUCCGGCGCUGAUGUUGGCGAGAAGGCCUGGCUCACAGUCUCCACUCUAAUUCAUCCCAAAGGUGUUCUAUCGGGUUGAGGUCAGGACUCUGUGCAGGCCAGUCAAGUUCCUCCACACCAAACUCGCUCAUCCACGUCUUUAUGGACCUUGCUUUGUGCACUGGUGCGCAGUCAUGUUGGAACAGGAAGGGGCCAUCCCCAAACUGUUCCCACAAAGUUGGGAGCAUGAAAUUGUCCAAAAUAUCUUGGUAUGCUGAAGCAUUAAGAGUUCCUUUCACU